GACGAACGCUGGCGGCGUGCUUAACACAUGCAAGUCGUACGGUAAGGCCCUUUCGGGGGUCCACGAGUGGCGAACGGGUGAGUAACACGUGAGUAACCUGCCCACAACUUUGGGAUAACGCUAGGAAACUGGUGCUAAUACUGGAUAUGUUCUCCUGCUGCAUGGUGGGGGUUGGAAAGCUCCGGCGGUUGUGGAUGGACUCGCGGCCUAUCAGCUUGUUGGUGGGGUAGUGGCCUACCAAGGCGGCGACGGGUAGCCGGCCUGAGAGGGUGACCGGCCACAUUGGGACUGAGAUACGGCCCAGACUCCUACGGGAGGCAGCAGUGGGGAAUAUUGCACAAUGGGCGCAAGCCUGAUGCAGCAACGCCGCGGGCGGGAUGACGGCCUUCGGGUUGUAAACCGCGUUCAGCAGGGACGAAGCUUUUUGUGACGGUACCUGCAGAAGAAGCACCGGCUAACUACGUG
rnacentral:rRNA from 1 species